AGAAUCAACGCUGGCGGCGUGCCUAACACAUGCAAGUCGCACGGGAAAGGGGAGCAAUCCCUGAGUAAAGUGGCGCACGGGUGAGUAACACGUGAAUAAUCUACCUCCGAGUGGGGAAUAACUGAGAGAAAUCUUAGCUAAUACCGCAUAACACUUACGAGUCAAAGCAGCAAUGCGCUUGGAGAGGAGUUCGCGGCCGAUUAGUUAGUUGGCGGGGUAAUGGCCCACCAAGACGAUGAUCGGUAUCCGGCCUGAGAGGGCGCACGGACACACUGGAACUGAAACACGGUCCAGACUCCUACGGGAGGCAGCAGUGGGGAAUUUUGCGCAAUGGGGGAAACCCUGACGCAGCAACGCCGCGUGGAGGAUGAAGCCCCUUGGGGUGUAAACUCCUUUCGAUCGGGAAGAUAAUGACGGUACCGAUAUAAGAAGCCCCGGCUAACUUCGUGCCAGCAGCCGC
rnacentral:rRNA from 1 species